rnacentral:rRNA from 1 species
GAUGAACGCUAGCGGCGGGCCUAACACAUGCAAGUCGAACGGUAACAUGAGUAGCAAUACUUGAUGACGAGUGGCGCACGGGUGCGUAACGCGUAUGCAACUUACCUCUAACUGGAGAAUAGCCUUCCGAAAGGAAGAAUAAUACUCCAUAAUAUUACGAUGUGGCAUCACAUUGUUCUUAAAGCUUCGGCGGUUAGAGAUGGGCAUGCGUCUGAUUAGCUUGUUGGUGAGGUAACGGCUCACCAAGGCAACGAUCAGUAGGGGGCCUGAGAGGGUUAUCCCCCACACUGGUACUGAGACACGGACCAGACUCCUACGGGAGGCAGCAGUGGGGAAUAUUGGACAAUGGGGGCAACCCUGAUCCAGCCAUGCCGCGUGUGUGAAGAAGGCC